rnacentral:tRNA from 1 species
AAAGGGAGACCUAAUUCAGGUAAAAGACGAAAAAAAAGUAGUCGCUACCAAGAAUCAAUCCCAAAAGGCCGGAGCGAGGCGAAAUUGGCUUUCAAACUAGGUUCUGGGUUCAAACAAGACCUGAAUCAGGAACAAGGGCUAUUAGCUCAGGUGGUUAGAGCGCACCCCUGAUAAGGGUGAGGUCCCUGGUUCGAGUCCAGGAUGGCCCACCUGCACAGGUGGCAAAAACAAGAGAAGCGAGGAAUCAGCACCUUAUCUUACUGACAUAGUAAGAGAGAAUGCUGGCUCUGAGUAAAGAGUCCAGAGGAACCUUGAAAACUGCAUAGAGCUAGGUGAAAAAGCCAAAAAAGAAGACCGCAAG